UACGUAGGGUGCGAGCGUUAAUCGGAAUUACUGGGCGUAAAGCGUGCGCAGGCGGCGCGUUAAGACAGGUGUGAAAGCCCCGAGCUUAACUUGGGAAUUGCGCUUGUGACUGGCGGGCUGGAGUGUGGCAGAGGGAGGUGGAAUUCCACGUGUAGCAGUGAAAUGCGUAGAGAUGUGGAGGAACACCGAUGGCGAAGGCAGCCUCCUGGGCCAGCACUGACGCUCAUGCACGAAAGCGUGGGGAGCAAACAGG
rnacentral:rRNA from 1 species